AUUUUUUAGUUGGAGAUCCCUGCCUAUGUGAGAAUGCUGUAGGCCUUCUGAAGACCAUCGUGAACUUAUGGCCUUCAUAUUUCUGCAAAACUUAACACUGUGAAGGUAUGUUUCCUAAGGGUUUCUUGUUGAUAAUAGUGAAUUCAGUGUUAUUUCGAAGCCCAGUUUACUACAGUACGGAUCUUACAGAGCAUCAACAUCUCCUGGCAUGUACCUUUUGAUACACAGCAGCAGAGAUGGGCAUUUCUGCUGGUGGCAUUUCUUCCUGAGGCACUGCAGCUCACUGAACCUCCACACGCUAAGGGAUGUGGGCAACGUGUUGUCCUUAAAGUUGCAUUUAGUUUCUUUACUCUUCUUUUCUUCAAAUAGUACCUAAAUUCUUGUUAUUGAGGUUUAACCUAACCCUGUGGUGCCUGCAUGGCAUUCCCCACAGGUGUGACUGGAUACAGUCCCACCUGAGGCCAGACACUUUGAUUCUCAGGGUAAGUAGAGGGAAGAAGUCACAGUCUAGCCAUCUCUCCAUCAUUAUCUUGCUUUUCACCUGUCUGUCCCUUCACUGAGAAGUCAGAAAUGCUUUUUUUUUUUCAUAAUGUCCCUUCAACUAACCAUCAGGACAGUUUGGAGCUUGUCUGUAAAUCAUUUCAAGGUAAUACUGAGAAAAAUAUGCUUUAAAGCAUGUACUUACUGUGAGAUUGAGUCCCACAGAGCCAGCCCUUCCCAUCAAAGCCUGUUUGAUGACAUCCAAGAUGUUAAGCUGUGUGGGUGGAUGAUAGAAAUGGCAUUGUAAUCUCAACUGUUAUGGAAUAGCAAGACAGCCAAAAGCCUAUGCUCCUGAAUGGACUUGAAGCCCGCCUCAGAGUUUGCACCUGGAAACCAUCUUAUAGCAGUGGUGGAGGAAGGAUAGCUUUCUCCUGGAAAAAAAAAAAAAAAGGUAUUUAGGUAUCUAAGUGCUACCAAAUGGACAUGCAAUUAUUUGGAAACUAUGUAAAACUUUAUUUCUGCUUCCUGAAUCACAAAUGCCAUCUUAAAAUCAUGCUAUUGUUAUU
rnacentral:lncRNA from 1 species